rnacentral:tRNA from 2 species
GCGCCCGUAGCUCAGGUGGAUAGAGCAUGGGAUUUCUAAUCCCAGGGUCGCUGGUUCGAGUCCAGCCGGGCGUA